UCGUCAGCUCGUGUCGUGAGAUGUUGGGUUAAGUCCCGCAACGAGCGCAACCCUUGUCAUUAGUUGCCAUCAUUGGUUGGGCACUCUAAUGAGACUGCCGGUGACAAACCGGGAGGAAGUGGGGAUGACGUCAAAUCAUCAUGCCCCUUAUGACCUGGGCUACACACGUGCUACAAUGGUUGGUACAACGAGUUGCGAGUCGGUGACGGCGAGCUAAUCUCUUAAAGCCAAUCUCAGUUCGGAUUGUAGGCUGCAACUCGCCUACAUGAAGUCGGAAUCGCUAGUAAUCGCGGAUCAGCACGCCGCGGUGAAUACGUUCCCGGGCCUU
rnacentral:rRNA from 1 species